CCCUUAGAUGUCCUGGGCUGCACGCGCGCUACACUGAUGUGUCCAGUAAGCACCUAACCUAUUCCGAGAGGAGCGGGUAACCUUAGCAAAGCACAUCGUGAUGGGGAUAGAUUAUUGCAAUUAUUAGUCUUGAACGAGGAAUUCCUAGUAAGCACAAGUCAUCAGCUUGUGUUGAUUACGUCCCUGCCCUUUGUACACACCGCCCGUCGCUCCUACCGAUUGAAUGCUCAGGUGAGCCAUUCGGACUUUCAUCAUGCUGGUUUCCAGUUUUGAUGAAGGAAAGUCUUGCGAACCUUAUCAUUUAGAGGAAGGAGAAGUCGUAACA
rnacentral:rRNA from 1 species